rnacentral:rRNA from 1 species
GACGAACGCUGGCGGUGUGCUUAACACAUGCAAGUGGUGCGACGAACCAGAGCUUGCUCUGGGGCAAAGCCGCGAACGGGUGAGUAACACGUGGGUAAUCUACCCCGAUGACCGGGACAACCCGAGGAAACUCGGGCUAAUACCGGAUGUGGUGCGGAGACAUAAGUCUCUUCACUAAAGGUAGCUUCGGCUUCCGCAUUGGGAGGGGCCCGCGGCCCAUUAGCUUGUUGGUGGGGUCAAGGCCUACCAAGGCAACGAUGGGUAGCUGGUCUGAGAGGACGAUCAGCCCCACUGGGACUGAGACACGGCCCAGACUCCUACGGGAGGCAGCAGUGGGGAAUCUUGCGCAAUGCGCGAAAGCGUGACGCAGCAACACCGCGUGAGGGAAGAAGGCCUUAGGGUUGUAAACCUCUUUCAGAUGGGACGAAGGUUCUCCGGUGAAUAGCCGAGAGGAUUGACGGUACCGUCAGAAGAAGCUCCGGCUAACUACGUG